rnacentral:rRNA from 1 species
UGAGGAAUAUUGGUCAAUGGACGAGAGUCUGAACCAGCCAAAUCGCGUGAAGGAAGACUGCCCUACGGGUUGUAAACUUCUUUUGUACAGGAAUAAAAGACAUUACGUGUAAUGUAUUGCAUGUACUGUACGAAUAAGCAUCGGCUAACUCCGUGCCAGCAGCCGCGGUAAUACGGAGGAUGCGAGCGUUAUCCGGAUUUAUUGGGUUUAAAGGGUGCGCAGGCGGGAUUUUAAGUCAGCGGUGAAAUUUUCAGGCUCAACCUGAACACUGCCGUUGAAACUGGGAUUCUUCAGUAUGGAUGAAGUAGGCGGAAUUCGUUGUGUAGCGGUGACAUGCUUAGAUAUAACGAGGAACUCCGAUUGCGUAGGCAGCUUACUAAGCCAUAACUGACGCUCAAGCACGAAAGCGUGGGGAUCAAACA